UUGUUGAGUGCGAGCUCUGAGCAGUAAGAACAGUGGGAGGAUAGCAGUGUUUCUUUUGGCAGGAGAUCAGAAAUGCAGACUCCUGGGCACUCUGCAUGUACCUUUCCACAUCAUGUGGCCUCCCUUUCCCCCACCCUGGCAUCUGCUUUCUCGCCUCUGGAAAAGCGUACAUGUGGAAAGCACCACCCGCCAAUUCUCUUUCGCAGUUCUUCGCAUUUCUGGGACUUCAAGAAAUCUUGAACCACAAUCUCCUUCUCUCAAGAUAGGUAACUGGGCACAGCUUCAAUCAACUGUAAUUUUCAACAGAUCCCGAACCAGGACUUGGAGAGAAGCAAAAUUCAAAAGGAAAGCAUCCACAAGAGGCACAUAAAUAAAGCAAGGAUAGGCGUUUCUGAAAAUAACCCUGUGGAAAAAAUGUGGCUUCUCUUCAAACUCAUAAAGAGAACAAGGCACUUGAGAAGUUCUAAAACUUUUCUAUGUAUUAGGCUCACCUGGAAGUUUUGACAACGUCUACGUCCAGACCAAAGCCCCCAUCAGUUAAAAGAACGACUGGGGAUUGGGACUCAUGCAUCAAUAUUUGUUAAAGCUCUCUAGGAGAUGCCAGUGGCAGCCAAGUCUGAGAAACACUUGAAAAACACGUAGCUGACAGCAUGAAAAGUCCAUGGAGCACAGGUUCCCUGCCCUGGGCUUUGGCUGCACAAAGCUGACCUGCUCUACCUGGCUACAGUCCCAGACUUCCCAGACACAACCUGGGCCUUCCUCUGGGGACUUGGUUCAUACUGCAGCAACUCUGCCACAGAUGUCCCCACUCACCGUAAGGAAUGCCUGCCAAAAACAAUAAUUUUUUAAACAAAUAAGGUUUUAAGGCAUCUACUAAAGAGCUAAUGGUGUGGUCAUUGUCCUAAUGGGUUUUUAAUGAUGUGUAAAGUUCUCAGCUGAUAGUCAACAAGAUGUAAAGUUUUAUAGAAGUAUUUCAUUGGUUUGGAAUUAUAUCUUCUUUUGACUCAUACUUAUUGUUUCUGUAAUCUCAAACUCAAGAGUCUUGAUAUGAGAAAGAUGUCUACUAAAAUUUUUACUUUCUUUUUAGAUGCUGCUUGGAGUCGGGGGAGACAGUGUUUUUCCUUGAUUUUAUUUUGGGAAAUGUUAUGAAGGUGGGAGGGGGGAUAAGCAAAGCAGGGGUUUCCCACCUCAGUUGCCCUGACUGUCCCAGGUGCCUCUGGAGUGAUACUGCCCCAAUGGCAACCAACAAGUCCUUUCUUGCCAGGACUGCGAGAUCUAUGCUCCAUGGCACUGGGGCCUAAGACCAGGGGUCAAGAUCUGAGUCACCUGCAUUCAGUACCAACCUUAGACCAGGCAAAAAGAGGCCUAGCCCUCAGAGCCUUAAAAGGUGCCUGCUCUGUCCCUUCUCCAGCCCUGCUCCUUCCCUGGGAGGAAGCAUCUGUGGGACCUGGACAUAUACCCACACCCUCCGUUUACAGUGACCCUGUAAUCUGAGGUCUUGGAAUUGCCUACUAAGUGGCCCAAGGCAGCCAACAGGGCCCAUGUGGUUCCAUUCCCCCAUCUGCCCUCUAGGGGGCAGACAUGUCACCCGUCAGCCUGAGAAGCAGUGGCUUGGGGGUGAAGGUGAAGGGUAUUUGCUUGGAACUUAGGCAUGUGUACUGGCAUGUCUCCACACAUGCACAGGACUGGCUCAUGGUUCCAGAUGGAGACAGAUGGAAAGAGAAGAGUGGGUGAGCCACAGAUCUUUCCUCAGCACUGAGACUUAAAAAUGCUAAAUUUGAACUUAGCCUUCCAAGCUAUCACAGAGGCAAAUUUGUCAAAGCAGGAGGAUAAACCUUUGACACUGAGGUAGGGGAUAGAACCUAAACAUUAAGGUUCAGCAUUUGAACUUAACCUUCCCGGUCAUAAAAUAGGCUUAUUUGUCAAGAAAGGAGGUGUGAGCAUCCUUAAUAGUCUGUUAGUGUGAUUUAAAAUUUUUAAAUAUUUAGAUGUGUGGUAUGUAGUCUUCCCUCUGUAUUCUUAUUUCACAAUCACAAAUUUCAAAAGUAGCUCUGCUCCAAGGCCUUACCCUGGCUAGACCUGCCAAACCAAAAUGUCUCGGGUUUGGCUGGUGAGUUUGAAACCUAAGUUCCUCUGAUGAGGUGCACCCACAACUCCUUUGCCAACCACCACCCUAGACCCUCUUCUCCUUUUCAGGUUUUACACUAAGUCCUUGUGCUAACAAAGCAGUGGUAAUUCACGUGCAAGCAGUGACAGCAGAUAAAGGAUUACAGAUUUUACUGGAAAGUGAGGCACAUACCAAGUCCAACUCUGUUAGGAGACAGGCUUACUGAGCCCCAAGGCCUGUGGUUUCCAGUCUGAUUUUUCUCCAUGCAAAGUCAAGCUGUGGGAGAACCAUGACAGCCCUCCCAACAGCCACUCCGAGUUCAGACCAUUUCCCUUCACCAAUACAAUUCUUAGUUUUCAGAGCGGCUGUUCUUGCCUACAGGUUCCUGAAUCUCGUUCUCUGACCUAAUGUCUAUUUUCCUCCCCUAACUGGCUCUACUCCUCAAUGACUGGAAUUUUUGUUUCACCAUACAACUCUCUCACCCAGAGGCGUGUGACCCUUCUUGGCAGGUGAGAAACACUUCUUGUUUGCACGGAGCCUGUAAAUACUCUGUCAGCACAUUAGGAUCACCUGGGGAGCCUUAAAAAAUUCCCAAGCCUGGGCCCCAUUCCAAACAAUUAAAUCCUGAUCUGACUAUGAUGGAUGAUGUAUGUGUGUGACAAAAUUACAGGGAACAGGUAAGUUUUCAAAAUUAUGCCCACACAUCAAAACUGUCUUAGAACCCUUUCGCUACAAAUACCCAGAGACUUUGGCCAUUCCUCUAGUAUUUUUUUGGCAUUAAGCAAACUCUGCCCAUUUCAUUAAUGCCUGCAAAUGCUGACCACCAGAUUUUGACAUUCUACCAAAAUCCACUCCAAAGACUUCUGUGACGAUGCUUAUGGCCAAGGAUAGGUAGCACCAACGUGACCUUUCAAAGCUUUAAAUGGAGGCUGAAUGUAGUUCAACCCCCAAGGCCUUCUUGGUUAGCAGAGUAUUAGGAGAGUACUCUUUGGGGGGAGGGGGAGGAGCACUAUUACAAUACAUUCUAGAGACAUAUCCAGUCCACACUAUAAUUUCAAAACUUAAUGUGUACAUGUAAUUCAUGGAAGACAAAAAGUUGUACUUGAAAUUCAAAUACAGUGACUUAGUAGAAAGUUGGCUAUUACCAAUGACACCAUUCUCCCCCAAUUAACAAGGAAGAGGGGCUGAGAUGGUAUCAGUUAGAUACUGUCCAAGAGAUUCCUAUUCCAGAGACUUCAUAUCAAGCACCGUAAUUUUCAAAAUUAGUAAGGAAAAUGCACAUGUAAAAUAAGCCAAACCAAGUGAUACAGAUCCAUGAAGUUGGGAUUUAAAAGUCUUUAUUAUU